UCACCGAACUAGUGACCCUGC
rnacentral:piRNA from 1 species